rnacentral:rRNA from 1 species
UACAGAGGUCCCAAGCGCUGUUCGGAUUCACUGGGCGUAAAGGGUGCGCAGGUGGGUUUGCAAGUUCGAUGUGAAAGCCCCGGGCUUAACCCGGGAAUGGCAUUGGAUACUGCAGAUCUGGAGGAUCGGAGGGGGGACUGGAAUUCUUGGUGUAGCAGUGAAAUGCGUAGAUAUCAAGAGGAACACCAGUGGCGAAGGCGAGUCCCUGGACGAUACCUGACACUGAGGCACGAAAGCUAGGGGAGCAAACAGG